rnacentral:lncRNA from 1 species
GUUUGUUGCUGUGGUAAAUAAAGAAGUGUACUGAGUCUUUUGGACUACACAGAGUUAUGUAGUAUUGACUCUGAUGCUGAUCUGAGUUGUCUCAUUUUGUAUUUUUGUGCUUUGUCUUUUGUUACACAGAGUGAAAGAGAUCUUUGGUUUUGCCUUUGCUGACUGCUGAUCUGAUCGUCUCAAGUCUGGUGACCUGCUGCAGAAAACCCUCUCCCUCUAUCAUUAACAAGCAAUUCAGUCUGUCCUAUCACUCUCCCUCUCCCUGCUCCAUCUUUUUGACAAGCCAUUCUAUCUUCUAUCAUUUCUCCGCCACGAGCUCUAUCUAAGUUGACAAGCUUGAACCUGAGUUGAAAAGCAAAACAAGUUUGCCUGAAACCAAGUUUGCCUGAAACCCAAGUUUGAGAUAAACCAAGUUUGAGAUAAACCAAGU